CACCGUUCGUAUGUUGUGCGCUGCUGUUAUUUUUGGUUCUUGUGUCAUUAUUCCAGGAUUGCCGCAGUUUACCCCCCACUUUCCCUUUGGCCUCUUGGGUGUGUUACGUUAGUCUCACCAUUACCUACCGGCUUGUAGCUCCAUGUAGUAGAAGAGAGAGACCAGAUGUCCUCGGUCAUUAUUGGUAUGUGUCUGGCAAAUUUUCCUCGUCCCAUGAUGACGACGAUAAUGUUUGAACCCUUGAACGAUGAUAUCAUGACGAUUGUUGCAUCAUCUCUCCUGUGCCAAGUAUUUAUUCUUGAUUCAGCUAAUCUGUGUGCACCUGUGACUUGCUGCUCGAUCUGCAUAAGAUCAGAUAGAUGGAAG
rnacentral:lncRNA from 1 species